AUGCAAGUCUAGGGGGCGUAGCAAUACGUCACCGGCGGACGGGUGCGUAACACGUGGGAAUGUACUUACUGGUUCGGAACAACUCAGGGAAACUUGAGCUAAUACCGAAUGAGCCCGAAAGGGGAAAGAUUUAUCGCCAGUAAAUCAGCCCGCGUCCGAUUAGCUAGUUGGUGGGGUAAAGGCCCACCAAGGCGACGAUCGGUAGCUGUUCUGAGAGGAAGAUCAGCCACACUGGGACUGAGACACGGCCCAGACUCCUACGGGAGGCAGCAGUUGGGAAUCUUGGACAAUGGGGGAAACCCUGAUCCAGCCAUGCCGCGUGAGUGAUGAAGGCCUUAGGGUUGUAAAACUCUUUCGACGGGGACGAUAAUGACGGUACCCGUAGAAGAAGCUCCGGCUAACUUCGUGCCAGCAGCCGCGGUAAUACGAAGGGGGCUAGCGUUGUUCGGAAUUACUGGGCGUAAAGCGCGCGCAGGCGGUCUUCCAAGUCAGUGGUGAAAGCCCGGAGCUCAACUCCGGAACUGCCAUUGAAACUGUGAGACUAGAGUACGAGAGAGGUGAGUGGAAUUCCCAGUGUAGAGGUGAAAUUCGUAGAUAUUGGGAAGAACACCGGUGGCGAAGGCGGCUCACUGGCUCGUUACUGACGCUCAGGCGCGACAGCGUGGGGAUCAAACAGGAUUAGAUACCCUGGUAGUCCACGCCGUAA
rnacentral:rRNA from 1 species